rnacentral:rRNA from 1 species
AUUGAACGCUAGCGGGAUGCUUUACACAUGCAAGUCGAACGAGUGGCGGACGGGUGAGUAAUAUAUCGGAACGUGCCCAGUAGCGGGGGAUAACUACUCGAAAGAGUUGCUAAUACCGCAAUCUUUUGGAGCGGACGAUAUCGGAUUAGCUAGUUGGUGGGGUAAAGGCUCACCAAGGCAACGAUCCGUAGCUGGUUUGAGAGGACGACCAGCCACACUGGGACUGAGACACGGCCCAGACGCCUACGGGAGGCAGCAGUGGGGAAUUUUGGACAAUGGGGGAAACCCUGAUCCAGCCAUCCCGCGUGUAUGAGAAGGCCUUCGGGUUGUAAAGCACUUUCAGCGAGGAGGCGUUACUCGCAGAAGAAGCACCGGCUAACUCCGUGCCAGCAGCCGCGGUAAUUC